GACGUAGGGCGCGAGCGUUGUCCGGAUUUAUUGGACGUAAAGAGCUCGUAGGCGGCUUGUCGCGUCGUUCGUGAAAACCCACAGCUCAACUGUGGGCUUGCGGUCGAUACGGGCAGGCUGGAGUUCGGUAGGGGAGACUGGAAUUCCUGGUGUAGCGGUGAAAUGCGUAGAUAUCUGGAGGAACACCGGUGGCGAAGGCGGCAUCCUGGACCGAUACUGACGCUGAGGAGCGAAAGCCAGGGGAGCAAACGGG
rnacentral:rRNA from 1 species